UACGUAGGCAGCAAGCGUUGUUCGGAGUUACUGGGCGUAAAGGGCUCGUAGGCGGCCUACUAAGUCGGACGUGAAAUCCCCAGGCUCAACCUGGGAACUGCGUCCGAUACUGGAUGGCUUGAAUCCGGGAGAGGGAUGCAGAAUUCCAGGUGUAGCGGUGAAAUGCGUAGAUAUCUGGAGGAAUACCGGUGGCGAAGGCGGCAUCCUGGACCGGCAUUGACGCUGAGGAGCGAAAGCCAGGGGAGCAAACGGG
rnacentral:rRNA from 1 species